AUAAUACAUAACAUAUAUAAAGGUUGAGGAUGAACACGGAUGCGGCCACUUUCAUUUUUACCAAAAACCAACUGAAAAAUGACAUUUUUCGGCAUAUUUGGUAGAUUUUUCAUAUUUGAGCUUGAAUCGGAUGGUUUUUAAUGACUAAAUCUGUUAAAAUCUUCCACAUAAACUAAUUAAUUCAAAUAAAAUAGACACUUAAGUGUUUAAAAA
rnacentral:lncRNA from 1 species